rnacentral:misc_RNA from 1 species
GAUGAAGAACGCAGCGAAAUGCGAUAAGUAAUGUGAAUUGCAGAAUUCAGUGAAUCAUCGAAUCUUUGAACGCACAUUGCGCCCCUUGGUAUUCCGAGGGGCAUGCCUGCUCGAGCGUCAUUAUAACCCCUCAAGCUCAGCUUGGUGUUGGGGCCUGCUGCACUGGCAGCCCUUAAAAUCAGUGGCGGCGCCAUCUGGCUCUAAGCGUAGUAAUUCUUCUCGCUAUGGAGUCCUGGUGGAUGCUUGCCAUCAACCCCCAAUUUUUCUAUGGUUGACCUCGGAUCAGGUAGGGAUACCCGCUGAACUUAAGCAUAUCAUAAGCGGAGGA